rnacentral:lncRNA from 1 species
UUUAUUUCUCAAGGACUCUCAAGGCAGACACAGGGACUGGAGGGUCUGCUUCACACGUUCAUGUCAAAGAUCCAGUUUCACAGAUCACUACUGAUGAAGUUUUCCAAUAUGUACCAUAAUUAUAGGUACAAUUUGUUCCACAGAACCAAACAACUCAUCCUGGAUCUUCAUUUCCCAUUCACCCAGAUGAAAGCACGACCGUGUUUCUGUGUGUACAAUCCAGAAUGCUCCAGCAAGAAGGACGUGUGGAAAAGUACUCGCAAGGUCUUUGUAUGGACUUUAUAGCCUGCUUGCAAAUACCAGAUAGUACCAGAAGGGCUGUGUAAAGUGACUGACCUAUGACAGGUUUUCACAGGCUAAAUACCACUGUUGUUAACUGAACAUUUUGCCUUCUGCCACAAGAAAAAUACCCACCAUUCUCUGGCAAUAGAUACUGGACAAUUUUCUAGCUUUGGCUUUCUGUUAGAAUGACUGAAGCAUGGUGUUGUCAGAAAACCUGUCCUUUUGCUUCUCAUAUAAAAAUGCAGUUUCACCGCCUAUAGAAUUUUAGCCUGAUUACUCUCUCAAGAUCUAUACAUCGUUCACUCAUUUAUUUAUUUUUAUUUAUAGAAAUUGUAUAAUUCAAGGUUGGGCUUGAUCUUUUGAGUGAUAAAAUGGCUUUUGUUGUUUGCAUGGUCAUAAUCUUUUGAGGGAAGGCAAGGAAUUUUUGGAGCUUGGAAGCAGCAGGCUGAGUAGUAGAGCUUCUCAUCAUGAAGCCUUGGGUCACUGCUGGUCCCAGGCCAUUAAGAGGUGUAACAACUGGAAAAAUCCUGCCCUUCCAAACAUCCAAAUCCACAUAUUCCAGCACAUACUGGCAAACAAACAAGC